AUUGAACGCUGGCGGCAGGCCUAACACAUGCAAGUCGAACGAGUGGCGGACGGGUGAGUAAUGUCUGGGAAACUGCCUGAUGGAGGGGGAUAACUACUGGAAACGGUAGCUAAUACCGCAUACCAUCGGAUGUGCCCCGAUGGGAUUAGCUAGUAGGUGGGGUAAAGGCUCACCUAGGCGACGAUCCCUAGCUGGUCUGAGAGGAUGACUAGCAACAUGGGAACGGGACAACGGUCCAGAUGCCGACGGGAGGAAGCAGUGGGGAAUAUUGCACAAUGGGCGCAGGCCUGAUGCAGCAAUGCCGCGUGUAUGAAGAAGGCCUUCGGGUUGUAAAGUCCGUUCAGCGGGGAGGCGUUACCCGCAGAAGAAGCACCGGCUAACUCCGUGCCAGCAGCCGCGGUAAUAC
rnacentral:rRNA from 1 species